AGAGGAUCGCUUGAGCCCAGGAACUGGAGGCUGCAGUGAGUUGUGAUCAUACAACUGCACUCCAGGCUGGGCAACAGAA
rnacentral:snRNA from 1 species